UACAGAGGGUGCGAGCGUUAUUCGGAAUUACUGGGCGUAAAGCGUGCGCAGGCGGCUUUGCAAGUCAGAUGUGAAAUCCCCGGGCUUAACCUGGGAACUGCAUUUGUGACUGCAUGGCUGGAGUGCGGCAGAGGGGGAUGGAAUUCCGCGUGUAGCAGUGAAAUGCGUAGAUAUGCGGAGGAACACCGAUGGCGAAGGCAAUCCCCUGGGCCUGCACUGACGCUCAUGCACGAAAGCGUGGGGAGCAAACAGG
rnacentral:rRNA from 1 species